rnacentral:rRNA from 1 species
CUGGCGGCGUGCCUAAUACAUGCAAGUCGAACGGCUUUCGUAUGGAAGCUUGCUUCCACUGAGAAGAUAGUGGCGGACGGGUGAGUAACACGUGGGUAACCUGCCCAUAAGAGGGGGAUAACAUCCGGAAACGGGUGCUAAUACCGCAUAGUUUCUUGAUCGCAUGAUCGGGAAAGGAAAGACGGCCUUUGUGCUGUCGCUUAUGGAUGGACCCGCGGCGUAUUAGUUAGUUGGUGAGGUAAUGGCUCACCAAGACGAUGAUACGUAGCCGACCUGAGAGGGUGAUCGGCCACAUUGGGACUGAGACACGGCCCAAACUCCUACGGGAGGCAGCAGUAGGGAAUCUUCCGCAAUGGACGAAAGUCUGACGGAGCAACGCCGCGUGAGUGAAGAAAAGGUUUUCGGAUCGUAAAACUCUGUUGUCAGAGAAGAACAAGUUGGAGAGUAACUGCUCCAGCCUUGACGGUAUCUGACCAGAAAGCCACGGCUAACUACGUGCCAGCCGCCGC